CGAGUGGCGGACGGGUGAGUAAUGUCUGGGAAACUGCCUGAUGGAGGGGGAUAACUACUGGAAACGGUAGCUAAUACCGCAUAACGUCGCAAGACCAAAGAGGGGGACCUUAGGGCCUCUUGCCAUCGGAUGUGCCCAGAUGGGAUUAGCUAGUAGGUGGGGUAAAGGCUCACCUAGGCGACGAUCCCUAGCUGGUCUGAGAGGAUGACCAGCCGCACUGGAACUGAGACACGGUCCAG
rnacentral:rRNA from 1 species